rnacentral:rRNA from 1 species
UACGUAGGGUGCGAGCGUUAAUCGGAAUUACUGGGCGUAAAGCGUGCGCAGGCGGUUUUGUAAGCCAGAUGUGAAAUCCCCGGGCUCAACCUGGGAAUGGCAUUUGGGACUGCAAGGCUCGAGUGCGGCAGAGGAGACUGGAAUUCCUGGUGUAGCAGUGAAAUGGGUAGAUAUCAGGAGGAAUACCGAUGGCGAAGGCAGGUCUCUGGGCUGACACUGACGCUCAUGCACGAAAGCGUGGGGAGCAAACAGG